CUCUGAGAUGAUUUGGAGAGUUGCUAUUCUAUCAAACGAAUCACGAAUGAACAACUGGAUACUCACUUCCAUUUAGAAUGUCUGUUUGGAAAGGCGGUUUUCCUUUAGAGGGACAAAGAGUAUGUUUGGAAAGUCAAGGGACCCAAGUUGAGUCCUUGCUCUGCUGUUUACCAGUUGUGUGACCUUGGAAAAUUCCCCAACCCUUUCCGGGCCUGAGCUCCCUGCACUUAUUUAAAUAAAGGAUUGAACUGUA